rnacentral:rRNA from 1 species
CCUACGGGAGGCAGCAGUGAGGAAUAUUGGUCAAUGGACGAGAGUCUGAACCAGCCAAGUAGCGUGAAGGAUGACUGCCCUAUGGGUUGUAAACUUCUUUUAUAUGGGAAUAAAAUGUUCCACGUGUGGGAUUUUGUAUGUACCAUAUGAAUAAGGAUCGGCUAACUCCGUGCCAGCAGCAGCGGUAAUACGGAGGAUCCGAGCGUUAUCCGGAUUUAUUGGGUUUAAAGGGAGCGUAGGUGGAUUGUUAAGUCAGUUGUGAAAGUUUGCGGCUCAACCGUAAAAUUGCAGUUGAAACUGGCAGUCGUGAGUACAGUAGAGGUGGGCGGAAUUCGUGGUGUAGCGGUGAAAUGCUUAGAGAUCACGAAGAACUCCGAUUGCGAAGGCAGCUCACUGGACUGCAACUGACACUGAGGCUCGAAAGUGUGGGUAUCAAACAGGAUUAGAUACCCCUGUAGUC